AUUGAACGCUGGCGGCAUGCCUUACACAUGCAAGUCGAACGGCAGCACGGGUGCUUGCACCUGGUGGCGAGUGGCGAACGGGUGAGUAAUACAUCGGAACAUGUCCUGUAGUGGGGGAUAGCCCGGCGGAAGCCGGAUUAAUACCGCAUACGAUCUACGGAUGAAAGCGGGGGACCUUCGGGCCUCGCGCUAUAGGGUUAGCCGAUGGCUGAUUAGCUAGUUGGUGGGGUAAAGGCCUACCAAGGCGACGAUCAGUAGCUGGUCUGAGAGGACGACCAGCCACACUGGGACUGAGACACGGCCCAGACUCCUACGGGAGGCAGCAGUGGGGAAUUUUGGACAAUGGGCGAAAGCCUGAUCCAGCAAUGCCGCGUGUGUGAAGAAGGCCUUCGGGUUGUAAAGCACUUUUGUCCGGAAAGAAAUCCUUGGCCCUAAUACGGUCGGGGGAUGACGGUACCGGAAGAAUAAGCACCGGCUAACUACGUG
rnacentral:rRNA from 1 species